rnacentral:rRNA from 1 species
UGCGUAGGUGGUGAGGUAAGUCGGAUGUGAAAGCUCCGAGCUCAACUCGGAAAUGGCAUUGGAAACUACCUUGCUCGAGGGUUUGAGGGGGGACUGGAAUACUUGGUGUAGCAGUGAAAUGCGUAGAUAUCAAGUAGAACACCAGUGGCGAAGGCGAGUCCCUGGAAAACUCCUGACACUGAGGCACGAAAGCUAGGGAGCAAACA